GCCUGUCAAAGUAUGUUUCCUGAAACGAUUGUGAAAGAAAUGGUUAAAGAUAUACUGUCCAUUUUUAUUUGAUUCAAAUCCAGUGAAUUUAUAACUUGGUAAAGAUCCAUGUCCAGUAAAUGUGAUCCUUGUCCAGUCACGUUACUAUUGUAGAUGCUUUAGAUGAUGGCACAACCUCACUUAUAAAUUAGACUGACCUCAGAGGUCUGGGAAAGUGCAAUAGAUGUUCUGGUGUUCGAUGGAAAGAGUCCCACCCUGUUUGUAGAAUACAUUUGUACCUCAUUUAGGCUAUAAUGGAGGAUUGGAAUAGUGGAAGAUUUACUUAAUAGUCUCCUUGCCAUUUGUUGUUUUGUUCCCCAUUAUUGUACAAUUAGUUUUAGCCGCUAUAAUGGAGUAUUGGAAUGAGAAACUUACUACAGCUGCUGGGAAUAGAGAUAUAGAAGCCUUAAAAUUAUGUCUACAGAAUGGUGCAGACAUUGAUUAUCAAGAUGCAAAAGGAUACACAGCAUUAAUGUUUGUUGCCUUGAAUGGAUACCUGGAGGUCUGUAGAUUCCUCAUUGAUAGAGGAUGUAAGA